CCUACGGGUGGCUGCAGUAGGGAAUUUUCGGCAAUGGGGGGAACCCUGACCGAGCAACGCCGCGUGAACGAAGAAGUUAUUCGUAAUGUAAAGUUUCUUUAAUAGGGAAGAAAGAGAAAUCUGACGGUACCUGAAGAAUAUGCUUCGGCUAACUACGUCCCAUCACCCGCGGUAAUACGUAGCGAGCGAGCGUUAUCGGGAAUUAUUGGGCGUAAUGGGUGCGUUGAUGGCAUAGUAAGUCUUUUGUAAAAGUGCUGGGUGAAACCCAGUAGGGCAAAAGAUACUGGAAGGUUAGAGUAUGACAGAGGCAAGUGGAACUAGAAGUGUAGCGGUGAAAUGCGUAGAUA
rnacentral:rRNA from 1 species